rnacentral:rRNA from 1 species
UACAGAGGGGGCAAGCGUUGUCCGGAAUUACUGGGCGUACAACGCGCGCAGGUGGUUGCCGACGUGCCGUGUGACAAGCGGGGGCUCAACCCCCGAGGGCCACGGUAAACGGGGCGACUGGAGGGAGGGAGAGGGAUGUGGAAUCUCGGUGGAGCGGUGAAAUGCGCAGAUAUCAGGAGGAACACCAGGUGGCGAAGGCGGGUCGCUCGUCGGGCCGUACUGACGCUGAGGAGCGAAAGCGUGGGUAGCAAACAGG